rnacentral:rRNA from 1 species
UACAGAGGUGGCAAGCGUUGCUCGGUAUCACUGGGCUUAAAGGGCGCGUAGGCGGUGCGGUACGGUUUCGGUGAAAUCCCUCGGCCCAACCGAGGAACAGCCGGAGCUACGGCCGGACUAGACGGCAUCAGGGGACAGUGGAACUCCCGGUGGAGCGGUGAAAUGCGUAGAUAUCGGGAGGAACGCCGGUGGCGAAAGCGACUGUCUGGGGUGCCUGUGACGCUGAGGCGCGAAAGCGUGGGGAGCGAACAGG